ensembl:lncRNA
GGAGAGAAGCCAAAGAAGGAGCUUUUACAGAUCUCCUUAAAAUAGUAACAGGGUGGGUGGGACCUCUCACUGCAGACUGAAGUCCUAGAAAGGUCAACCCAUUUGGCAAAGACAUAUCCAACCAGGAGAGCUGUUUAAGUGACUUUUCAGCACCCACCUCCCAUACCCACUAGUGCGUGCCACCUCAGCUAUCCAAAGCAGUGGGAAGAAAGGACAGCACAUGGCUUCGAGCCUGGAAAACAUCAUUAGAAAUAGUCAAGGAUGGUGACCACAAAGCUCAGAGCAGUGCUCAGUUUGGUUCACUCCAGAGGAGCCAAG